CCUACGGGUGGCAGCAGUGGGGGAUAUUGCACAAUGGGGGAAACCCUGAUGCAGCGACGCCGCGUGGGCGAAGAAGUAUUUCGGUAUGGAAAGCCCUAUCAGCAGGGAAGAAGAAAUGACGGUACCUGAGUAAGAAGCACCGGCUAAAUACGUGCCAGCAGCCGGGGUAAUACGUAUGGUGCAAGCCAUAUCCGGAGUUACAGGGUGUAAAGGGAGCGCAGGCGGCACGGCAAGCGUGAUGGGAAAGCCGGCGGCCCAACCGAGGGACUGCGGUUGAAACUACCGGGCUGGAGGGCCGGAGAGGUAGGCGGAAUGCCUGGUGUAGCGGUGAAAUGCGUAGAUAUUACGAGGAACUCCAGUGGCGAAGGCAGCAUACUGGACGUUGACUGACGCUGAGGCACGAAAGUGUGGGGAUCAAACAGGAUUAGAUACCCUAGUAGUC
rnacentral:rRNA from 1 species